AACGCACGAGACCUGCGGACCUGCGGAAGGAUCAUUACCGAGUUAUCCAACUCCCAACCCCUGUGAAUUAUACCUUUAAUUGUUGCUUCGGCGGGACUUCGCGCCCGCCGGGGACCCGAACCUUCUGAAUUUUUAAUAAGUAUCUUCUGAGUGGUUAAAAAAAAAUGAAUCAAAACUUUCAACAACGGAUCUCU
rnacentral:misc_RNA from 1 species